rnacentral:lncRNA from 1 species
UCGGUUUAGUUUAAUUGAAUUAUGUAUAUUAUUGAAAUGUUUUAUUUUCUUAUGACUUACUAAUCUAUUUAAGCUUACUCUAUGUGUGUUCUUUUGUUAUUUUAUAGAUUUUGAAAGCUAGUUACGAGCUCAGGGAUCGUCAAGGAAAUCCGUCACACUAUUGUUCAUUAUUUCGGUAUUUUAAAAGUUUGAACUUUGAACUUAUGGAAUGUGUCACAG